UGUUCAAAAAAAUAGAUAGAUCGUGUUUUAUUAUUUUUUCAAACAACUUAAAAACACUACCGCUAGUAGAAAAAACAGCUAUAGUCACAUUUCUUACGUGAACAAAGGGUAAAUUUUGUGGCUAUAUAAAACUAGCUAACGUUUGUAACUAAAAACAUUAUGACUAAUCGUAACUGUUAAAUACCAAUUAGUCACCAAAUACUCGUGACCAAUUAGUCACGAUUUAAUCGCUUUAGUUGUAUCUUAUUUAAUCACAAAAUAAAUCGUAGCUAAUACGUGACUACUUACGUGGAGUCAUACCACUUAGGGAAAGCAUCCAGUCAGGUAAUCUAUAAGUUAUCACCAUCAGAUUCGACUCUUGUACACAAUACCGGCGUCUAACAAUGGCCUCUAAAGUUUCGAACCUCUCGCCAUCCUUCAUGAUUACCGCAAAUCCGCAAUCCGUCACAUCAGUUAUGAAAUGACAACCAGUCUUCUGACAUUUAUCAAAAAUCAAAUCAAAUCUCAGACUUGGAAAUCGUGGAUCGUAAUUCACAAAAUCAGAUCAGUAAAGUCGAGAAAGAUGAUGAAACACAGGAAGAUAGGAAUCACGAUGGAUUUCUCACAGAGCAGCAAGAACGCAUUGAAAUGGACGAUGGAUAACUUAGAGGAUAAAGGAGACACACUACCAAUCUAAUCUUGCCACAGCCUCUGGUUCAAUUCCGAUUCUCUUCAGUUCCUUCUUCUAUUUUUAUUCUUCUGGUUUUUUUGGUUCCGUGAUUGAUCUAUCGGUUUAAUCCGGUAUGUUUAGUGCGCCGGGCAUCAUUACUCAUUACUCGUAUUAAAUUCGCUAUUUGAUUUGUACCCGCGUUAAAAAUUCAAGUACUCUGUGUUGUCAAAGUAAGUAACAAGUCAACAAUUUUUAUUACUUGCAAGAUCAA